CGCGUAGGUGGCCUGAUAAGGGUGUGGUGAAAGUCCGGGGCUCAACCCCGGAUCGGCCGUGCCGACUGUCAGGCUGGAGUACUGUAGGGGCAGGCGGAAUUCCGGGUGUAGCGGUGGAAUGCGUAGAGAUCCGGAGGAAGACCGGUGGCGAAGGCGGCCUGCUGGGCAGUUACUGACACUGAUGCGCGACAGCGUGGGGAGCAAACA
rnacentral:rRNA from 1 species